GACGAACGCUGGCGGCGCGCUUAACACAUGCAAGUCGAACGGAAAGGCCCUGCUUUUGUGGGGUGCUCGAGUGGCGAACGGGUGAGUAACACGUGAGUAACCUGCCCUUGACUUUGGGAUAACUUCAGGAAACUGGGGCUAAUACCGGAUAGGAGCUCCUGCUGCAUGGUGGGGGUUGGAAAGUUUCGGCGGUUGGGGAUGGACUCGCGGCUUAUCAGCUUGUUGGUGGGGUAGUGGCUUACCAAGGCUUUGCCGGGUAGCCGGCUUGAGAGGGUGACCGGCCACAUCGGGACUGAGAUACGGCCCAGACUCCUACGGGAGGCAGCAGUGGGGAAUAUUGCACACUGGGCGGAAGCCUGAUGCAGCAACGCCGCGUGCGGGAUGACGGCCUUCGGGUUGUAAACCGCUUUCGCCUGUGACGAAGCGUGAGUGACGGUAAUGGGUAAAGAAGCACCGGCUAACUACGUG
rnacentral:rRNA from 1 species